GGGCUAUGAUGAGAUAUAGAGAUAGUCAUGCACCACUCUGAUUUCGUGCUGAGAAGUUUCUCAAACCCAUUUUACUCUGAGCUC